rnacentral:sRNA from 1 species
GUGCAUUGGUUAAUUCAAUAAAUAUAUAUUGGUGAUCCACCCUGCAGGGGGCUGCAUGCUGUUCUACAGAUAGAGUUGUCUCUCAGAUCCAAGCCUCCUUCAGCUCAAAGUGACUUCCAAAGUUGCUGUGGCCAAAAGAGGGAGAAAUCGAAGAGACCAGCCAGCUCUCACCUGGCUCAGCGCAUGUCACUUUCCUUGGCCAAAACAAGUCCCAAGGCCCCAAGCUUACUGCACAAGAGAGUGGAAAAUGCAGAGAAGCACAUGGGAUCCAGUAUAUGGUGAGCACCAGUUGUCUCUGCCAACAUGACGGUAACUCUUUUCAUUUUUCAGUUACUGUAAUGAAUGUAUGUUGGAUCCAGACUGCGGUUUCUGCUACAAGAUGAACAAAUCAACUGUCAUUGACUCCUCCUGUGUUCCAGUUAAUAAAGCAUCUA